rnacentral:rRNA from 1 species
CAGCCGCCACGGUAAUACGUAGGUGGCAAGCGUUGUCCGGAAUUAUUGGGCGUAAAGGGCUCGCAGGCGGUCUCUUAAGUCUGAUGUGAAGGCCCCCGGCUCAACCGAGGAGAGUCAUUGAAAACUGGGAAACUUGAGUGCAGAAGAGGAGAGUGGAAUCCCACGUGUAGCGGUGAAAUGCGUAGAGAUGUGGAGGAACACCAGUGGCGAAGGCGACUCUCUGGUCUGUAACUGACGCUGAGGAGCGAAAGCGUGGGGAGCGAACAGGAUUAGAUACCCGUGUAGUCCCUGUCUCUUAUAC